rnacentral:rRNA from 1 species
GAUGAACGCUGGCGGCGUGCUUAACACAUGCAAGUCGAACGGAAAGGCCCAAGCUUGCUUGGGUACUCGAGUGGCGAACGGGUGAGUAACACGUGGGUGAUCUGCCCUGCACUUCGGGAUAAGCCUGGGAAACUGGGUCUAAUACCGGAUAGGACCACAUUUUGGAUGGUGUGGUGGAAAGUUUUUCGGUGUGGGAUGAGCUCGCGGCCUAACAGCUUGUUGGUGGGGUAAUGGCCUACCAAGGCGUCGACGGGUAGCCGGCCUGAGAGGGUGUACGGCCACAUUGGGACUGAGAUACGGCCCAGACUCCUACGGGAGGCAGCAGUGGGGAAUAUUGCACAAUGGGCGCAAGCCUGAUGCAGCGACGCCGCGUGGGGGAUGACGGCCUUCGGGUUGUAAACUCCUUUCGCUAGGGACGAAGCGCAAGUGACGGUACCUGGAGAAGAAGCACCGGCUAACUACGUG